CUCUUUCAGACAGUGAAGAUGCAGAGGCGUUACAUUUGGGAAGAACUAGGAGUAGUGGUGACCAUGAAGCUAUGGAAGUAGAGAAUGAAGUGCCUCUUCCAGACAGUGAAGAUGCAGAGGGGUUAUAUUGAGGAGGAGCUAGCAGCAAUGGUGGUCAACAUGAUGACGCUAUGGAAGUUGAGAAUGAAGGUGAUCUUGAUGAUCUUGAUGAUGAUACAGG